rnacentral:rRNA from 1 species
GCGUUGUCCGGAUUUACUGGGUUUAAAGGGUGCGUAGGCGGACUUAUAAGUCAGUGGUGAAAGCCUUCAGCUUAACUGAAGAACUGCCAUUGAAACUGUAAGUCUCGAGUUCGGUUGAGGUCAUUGGAGUGUAACAUGUAGCGGUGAAAUGCAUAGAUAUGUUACAGAACACCAAUUGCGAAGACAGAUGACUAACCCGAAACUGACGCUGAGGCACGAAAGCGUG